rnacentral:lncRNA from 1 species
AGAGAGAGAGAGAGAGAGAGAGGCUUUUCUUUGCUGUUAGUCAGCAAGUGGAGUGGAGUGGAGAGCAGAAGCCCAGGCCCCUGUACACCAUGCCAGGGCUCUGCUUACAGGGCCAAACUCUUGGCUACUGGGUGCAGAAGGCAUAGGACAAAGACAACACCUCAGAAAUACCCAUUUUCCAUACAAUUUUAGCCUUUAUUAUUCAGCGGCAGAAGACAAGCUGGUUACCUCUCUCUGUUCUCCAGUGAAUGUGGGGGACCUGAUCUGCAUAAGUAAAACUGAGAGGCACCACAUCGGAUUCAAUGUCAGACAGUUGAAGAAGCCUUGGGCUGACCAGAACAAGCAGAGGAGCUUGUACGCACCAGGGAAGACGGUGGAGCACCCGGCCUGUCGUGUCAAUAAACAAUUAACACCAGGUAGAAAGGAGAACGGAUUAUUGAUUAAGGUAACAGAACUGAAAUUAUUUUUUGUUUCUGCCACCAAUAUAAUGUGACCCCAGUGAAG